GAUGAACGCUGGCGGCGUGCCUAAUACAUGCAAGUCGAGCGAACAGAUAAGGAGCUUGCUCCUUUGACGUUAGCGGCGGACGGGUGAGUAACACGUGGGUAACCUACCUAUAAGACUGGAAUAACUCCGGGAAACCGGGGCUAAUGCCGGAUAACAUUUAGAACCGCAUGGUUCUAAAGUGAAAGAUGGUUUUGCUAUCACUUAUAGAUGGACCCGCGCCGUAUUAGCUAGUUGGUAAGGUAACGGCUUACCAAGGCAACGAUACGUAGCCGACCUGAGAGGGUGAUCGGCCACACUGGAACUGAGACACGGUCCAGACUCCUACGGGAGGCAGCAGUAGGGAAUCUUCCGCAAUGGGCGAAAGCCUGACGGAGCCACGCCGCGUGAGUGAUGAAGGUCUUCGGAUCGUAAAACUCUGUUAUUGGGAAAGAACAAAUGUGUAAGUAACUGUGCACGUCUUGACGGUACCUAAUCAGAAAGCCACGGCUAACUACGUG
rnacentral:rRNA from 1 species